UUAAAUUGAAGAGUUUGAUCAUGGCUCAGAUUGAACGCUGGCGGCAGGCCUAACACAUGCAAGUCGAACGGUAACAGGAAGCAGCUUGCUGCUUUGCUGACGAGUGGCGGACGGGUGAGUAAUGUCUGGGAAACUGCCUGAUGGAGGGGGAUAACUACUGGAAACGGU
rnacentral:rRNA from 4 species